GGAAAGGUGGCAGAGCGGCUGAAUGCGGCGGUCUCGAAAACCGUUUUUCGGGUUUUCCGAAACGGGGGUUCGAAUCCCCCCCUUUCCG
rnacentral:tRNA from 1 species